AUAGAAAAGAAAAUGAAUUACCUCAUUCACAAGUCUAUUUCAGGCUUGAUUAUGUGUUUCUGUUUUUUUUUUCCAGCUCUUGGACAGACCUACCUCACAGGUUCUCCUCAGAGGGAGAACGUAGUUGGCUGUUGAACACAUCAGGACAGGCUCUUGCUGCAAAAGAUCAACCUGGUGAUGAGUAAAAAAAAAAAAACUUCAGAUGUGAAGAACAAUCCUGAUGCGCCACAUACAGCCACCGGCAUAAAUGGGAUGGCUCUGUGCAGACAAACGCAAUCUUCCUGUAAAGCACCCACACCACAAUUUUUUUGCACUCUUGUAUCCUUAAUAGCACACUUGCACCCCAACCUCCAAAUUUCCCUUUUGCCCACAUGACAAACCACUAACCAACAGUCUGGCAUGCACCACGACAAUCAUUCUGUCAGUCCACACUGAGGUAGGUAGAUGUUUACAAAAACCUGUAAGCAAUUUGGAUUCUAAUUAUGUAAUGACAAUACACAUAAAACAAUCAGAUUAAAAAAGUAAAACUAGCCGGAUGGUUGUCUGUGUCCUGGCCAAACCGUACAAGAAUCUAUGUCCUUUCAAAUGUCCUCCCAAAACGAAAGGUAUGAGGAGUGUGAUGUGGAGCACCUGGAGCCGGCAUUGCAGUGAGGGCCCUGUUCUAGCAGGGGUGGGUCGGAGGCAGGAUUGAGACUUAGUUUAGCAGAGAUGGAAUGUACACCCUCCGACAGGUAAGAAAGACCACAUUGUUCGUCUAUCUGGCAGAGCAACCGCCAAGGGAGAGAGAGGAGCAGGGGGAGAAUGGAGGGGAGCGUGUCUUACAUAGCAAGUGACCAUUAAAAUCCCUCACCAAAAAAUCCCCUGAUCUGAAGCACUGUGAGCAGUGAACUCACAAAGGCUGUGUGUUGUGUAGAACUGCUCUAUUGUGUAACACCUCUCACACAAUUACGGAUAGUAGAGAUGUUGCAGAGUUAUUGUUCCGUAGAACAAUUUAUCUUUAUGCACAGUGAUAGAUAGCAAGUCGGUCUCACAGACGAUGAUGAUUUUGGGACUAAUCUGCAUCACAUGAAAUAUUCAAGCAUGCUCUGUAAAAGACCUCCUACUGUGUACAUUGUGUACAUUGUAGUGGAUUGAUUUCAUUUUUAAAAGCCUUUGUUGAUGAAAUCACUUGAUGGACAUACUGAAAUAUCUGUCUGUGAAUUCAGCUUCUGUGGCAUACUACAUAUGCUAUGUUUAGUCUUUGUAAAGCAAGCAUAUGUAAAUGCAUGUUUACGAUUACCUAUAAGGGAUUGCCAGUCCUUUUUCUGAAAAGAAAAGAAGUCUACAGUCAUUUGCGUAAAUGUAAGCAUCAUCUUACAUAGAAUUUCUUUUUCUCCGAAACGCAAAGCCGAAAAACAGAUGUCACAAUCACUUUCUUCCUUGAAUAGCGUUAGUGAGUAUCUUUUAACACCGUUAAACAGAAAACAAAAUGACUUAGAGUGGAAACAAAUUUCCAAUAAACUGCACACAAGUAUACUCAAAUUGAUAAAUUAAUUAAUUAUUAAUUAUUAUUAAUAAAUUAAUACAAAAAAUAUUCUAACUUUAGUACAAAUAUACACAAAAUACAUAAACACACAAGUGUCCACCUCUUUAGUAAUAACAGACACGAUAAGUUUGAAUGUAUAAAACAAUAAUACAGAAAAAAUGUACAGGGGGCUCGUUAUGUUUUCAUAGUGGAUACAUAAAAACACUUAUGAUGUGAUUCACAGCAGCA